CGGGGAUUGGCGCAGCGGUAGCGCGCACGGUUCGGGACCGUGAGGUCGUGAGUUCAAAUCUCACAUCCCCGACCA
rnacentral:tRNA from 1 species